AGUGAGCAUGAUAAGCCCUCGUGC
rnacentral:piRNA from 1 species